rnacentral:piRNA from 1 species
UAAGCCUCCGAAUUUCACAUU